UGACGGUACCUGCAGAAUAAGCACCGGCUAACUACGUGCCAGCAGCCGCGGUAAUACGUAGGGUGCAAGCGUUAAUCGGAAUUACUGGGCGUAAAGCGUGCGCAGGCGGUUCGGAAAGAAAGAUGUGAAAUCCCAGAGCUUAACUUUGGAACUGCAUUUUUAACUACCGGGCUAGAGUGUGUCAGAGGGAGGUGGAAUUCCGCGUGUAGCAGUGAAAUGCGUAGAUAUGCGGAGGAACACCGAUGGCGAAGGCAGCCUCCUGGGAUAACACUGACGCUCAUGCACGAAAGCGUGGGGAGCAAACAGGAUUAGAUACCCUGGUAGUCCACGCCCUAAACGAUGUCAACUAGCUGUUGGGGCCUUCGGGCCUUGGUAGCGCAGCUAACGCGUGAAGUUGACCGCCUGGGGAGUACGGUCGCAAGAUUAAAACUCAAAGGAAUUGACGGA
rnacentral:rRNA from 1 species